AAACAACAUUUAGUCUUCUUAUCUGCCAACAUUGCCCUCAUUGUCAUCCAAACUUACAAAGUGGAAAUGUAACCUUGCACAGCAACUAUGCAGUGGUGGCCUGAUACCAUAUAGUUACAGCAGAUGGCGCAACAAGAUAAAAAGGCAUCAGGAGAGAGAGCGAGUGAAGGAGCGAGGCAAGAGAGAGUCUGUUCUUCACACUAUCGCAUCUUAGCAUGCUGGUUCUCCGGCUAUGCACCUGCAACCUCUCUUUGCAGUCCUCCUACUGUACUCCUCCCCGGCGGUCGUAUAGCGGUAGUGCGCACUGUGCAGCGGGAGUGCGCAAGACGGCCGGCAUGCACCUGGAGAGAAACCAAGCAGUCCAAGGGCUCAACCGGAGACCAAUAAGCAUGACGAGCGAUGCUAUAACAGCAGGGAUCUAGCAGCAGAGCACCGGGCGGAUAUCGGAGCUGCAGCAUGGGCGUGGGAGAGAGGCACAGACAAAAUGAAAGCGAUGUAAUUCCAUGGACAUAAGAAGGGUGGGUGGGGGGAACCCAAGUACCGUUUGGAUCAGAAUUGUCCCGGGUGUAUUUUGUGGCUUGGUUUGGUGUCUUGUUCUCUGAAAUUCACCACAUACCGUACUGUUUUCCCUGUCAUUUUCCACUGGAGUUUAAAAGGAUGGAGAACGGCUCACAGCAGCAUCCGCAGCUGUCCAAAAGCGCAGAUAGUCAGGCGGAGGACAUCUCCAAAAUAAACGACGAGGAGCUGCUGAAGUGGGGCAAAGAGAAACUGGUGCGACGGCUACUGAGGGCAGAGUCAGAGAAAAGGGGCGUCAUCGUGGAGCACGGCAAUCUUAUGCGGGAGGUGAACCGGAGACUCCAGCAGCACCUGAACGAGAUACGGAGUUUGAAAGAUGUGAACCAGAAACUGCAGGAGGACAACCAGGAACUGCGGGACCUGUGCUGCUUUCUGGACGACGACCGGCAGAAGGGUAAGCGGGUGUCGCGGGAGUGGCAGCGUCUGGGCCGCUAUAGCGCCAGCCUGAUGAGGAAGGAGGUGGUCAUCUACCUGCAGAAGCUGAAGGAGCUGGAGCAGCGGCAGGUGGAGGUCAUCCGGGAGAACCUGGAGCUCAGGGAGGUGUGCCUCAUGCUGGAGGAGGAGAGGGCUGCGGCUGUGGUUGUAGGGGGUGGAAGUGGUGGUGUGUGCAGGAAGGGAGGCCCUGGCUGCAGGAUCUCCAUUGACAGUCAGAGCAGCUUGUCUCAGCUGGGUGGAUGUGUCCCAGCACCUGGCCUGCUGCGAGACGUCGGCGAUGGAAGCAGCACCUCCAGCGCAGGGAGUACAGAUAGCCCUGAUAACCCACACCUAAAACCUCCUCCCCUGGGCUCCAACGCUAGCCCUGGAUCUGGGUCAACAUGUGUCUCCUCAGAGCACCCCGACAAACCAGGAGACGUGUGCGAACCAACAGGCAGGAGGCACAGCUCCACCACUGAGUACCACACCUUCCCCCAGUCCUGUCGCACCCGUGGAGGGUCCCUCACCACCCUGGACCCUUGUGGCCUUUGGGGACACAGCCCAGGGAAACACAGCAAGUCUCCCACCAGGCUACCAUGUGACUCCCAUCCAAAAACCUGCAGCUCUGACCUACUAGCCCAGAAACAGCUAUUGAUGUCAGGGCAGGCAUCGCCAGACUGUGGCAAGGGCUCAGCCAAGUCCAUCCCAGAGCUGAGUCAGGGACCACUUAACACGGCAGGGGCAGGCUGUGGGAGUCCUGAGGCCAAGCAGGCAGUGAUUGGGACGCCUGAGCACCUGAGGAAGGGGCGGGUAAUUGUGGGUAGUCCAGAGUCUAUAUGGCAACACCAUCACAAUCAGCACAGCCACGGGGUGGAGCAUGGCAAGGGGAGGUAUAGCAGUGGCUCCCCUGGCAGGGACGGGGCUCAGAGGAGGGCAGCGGGAGAGGAAAUGGCCCCCCACCACCACAGCUUGUACAACGCAGUGGUCUAUUAGGAUGAAGGUCCAGCAGAGCAGUACGAAGGGAGAGUUGGAACAGUCCCCACAAUCUGUUCCCCCAGCUAGAGACAAAUGCUCUGAUAUCUGCUGGUUGCUGCACCAACUCCUGCAGGAGUGUAAAGCUUUGGGACAGCUUUGAUGCCUCCUGACCAUAACAUGCCUUUGAUCAGAUGCUGCUAUGACAACACACACACCCGAGAGAGAAGAAGAAGGUUAUUAGCAGGAUGGAUGGAUGGAUGAAUGAAGGACAUGUGGAUCGAUGCAUAACUGGAUGGAUAAAUGGAUCAUGAAAUUCAAAAUCAAGCAGUGAGGGUGAGGGAGUAGAUGAGUGAAACAAGGUGACAAAGAAGCAAAACACUGGAAACACUUGAACUCUGUGUCUGCUGCUGCUGCUAUGCAUUUCUUGUGGACCACCAGAAAAGACUGUAUGUCACUGUUUGGACAGGCAAAGGCUCAUCCAUGCAUUGCCAAAAUGAAGAGAGGAAUAUACAGUGGUGUGAAAAAGUGUUCGCCCCCUUCCUGAUUUUUUUUUUGCAUGUUUGUC